CCUACGUGUGGCAGCAGUGAGGAAUAUUGGGCAAUGGGCGCAAGCCUGACCCAGCAACGCCGCGUGAAGGAAGAAGGCUUUCGGGUUGUAAACUUCUUUUCUCAGGGACGAAGCAAGUGACGGUACCUGAGGAAUAAGCCACGGCUAACUACGUGCCAGCAGCCGCGGUAAUACGUAGGUGGCAAGCGUUAUCCGGAUUUACUGGGUGUAAAGGGGGUGGAGGGGGGACUGCAAGUCAGAUGGGAAAACCACGGGCUCAACCUGCGGCCUGCAUUUGAAACUGGAGUUCUUGAGUACUGGAGAAGAAGACGGAAUGCCUGGUGUAGCGGUGAAAUGCGUAGAUAUUAGGCGGAACACCAGUGGCGAAGGCGGUAUGCUGGACAGCAACUGACGCUGAGGCGCGAAAGCGUGGGGAGCAAACAGGAUUAGAUACCCGGGUAGUC
rnacentral:rRNA from 1 species